GUACUACUCUCAGAGUUUGAUCCUGGCUCAGGAUGAACGCUGGCGGCGUGCUUAACACAUGCAAGUCGAACGAAGCACUUUGAAAAGUUUACUUUUUAGAGUGACUGAGUGGCGGACGGGUGAGUAACGCGUGGGUAACCUGCCUUACACAGGGGGAUAACAGUUAGAAAUGACUGCUAAUACCGCAUAAAACAGCAGUACCGCAUGGUACAACUGUCAAAGAUUUAUCGGUGUAAGAUGGACCCGCGUCUGAUUAGCUAGUUGGUGGGGUAACGGCCUACCAAGGCGACGAUCAGUAGCCGACCUGAGAGGGUGACCGGCCACAUUGGGACUGAGACACGGCCCAA
rnacentral:rRNA from 1 species